rnacentral:lncRNA from 1 species
UUGACUAGUACCACAUCAAUAAAGCCUCACAGCUGCAUUGAAGCUCACUCCGAUAUGCAACUUCGGAAUCCAAAAGAAAAUCUAGUUCUCAUUGCGAAAUACUUGAUACACGAAAGUGGAGGAUAAAGUGUUAUACCAUAAUUGGUCCUUUGCCAACUUGUCCGAUUUUCAAAGGUAUAGGGAACACAUGGCAUCAUGACCUAGCGGUUUAAAGCAUGUGAUUUGAGCAACCUCAUAUGAUCCUAACGAUGUCACAAACAUCAGUACUUAGCUAAUCACCACAUGAGAUCGGUAAUGCGGUGAUGCCUACGUUGUCGGAUUUCUACUGAUCCUAUACCACUUCCACCUAGGCUCCCUAUAAGUCAUCCUCCAGAUCGGAUGCUCUCAGGAGCACCUAGCCAAUGGAUCUCGCUAGAUCGGUAUUCUGCUAUGUAGACCCACGAUCCCUUCGAAUAUAGGAACAGGCCUCAUGGUAGCCUGCUGACACCCA